rnacentral:rRNA from 1 species
UACGUAGGGUGCAAGCGUUGUCCGGAAUUAUUGGGCGUAAAGAGCUCGUAGGCGGUUUGUCGCGUCUGCUGUGAAAACUCGGGGCUUAACCCCGGGCCUGCAGUGGGUACGGGCAGACUAGAGUGCGGUAGGGGAGACUGGAAUUCCUGGUGUAGCGGUGAAAUGCGUAGAUAUUGGGAGGAACACCAGUGGCGAAGGCGGCGAUCUGGACAGAUAUUGACGCUGAGGUGCGAAAGCGUGGGGAGCAAACAGG